rnacentral:rRNA from 1 species
AUUGAACGCUGGCGGCAGGCCUAACACAUGCAAGUCGAACGGUAACAGGAAGAAGCUUGCUUCUUUGCUGACGAGUGGCGGACGGGUGAGUAAUGUCUGGGAAACUGCCUGAUGGAGGGGGAUAACUACUGGAAACGGUAGCUAAUACCGCAUAAUGUCGCAAGACCAAAGAGGGGGACCUUCGGGCCUCUUGCCAUCGGAUGUGCCCAGAUGGGAUUAGCUAGUAGGUGGGGUAACGGCUCACCUAGGCGACGAUCCCUAGCUGGUCUGAGAGGAUGACCAGCCACACUGGAACUGAGACACGGUCCAGACUCCUACGGGAGGCAGCAGUGGGGAAUAUCGCACAAUGGGCGCAAGCCUGAUGCAGCUAUGCCGCGUGUAUGAAGAAGGCCUUCGGGUUGUAAAGUACUUUCAGCGGGGAGGAAGGGAGUAAAGUUAAUACCUUUGCUCAUUGACGUUACCCGCAGAAGAAGCACCGGCUAACUCCGUG